GACGAACCGAGCGAACGUUGUUCGGAAUCACUGGGCUUAAAGGGCGCGUAGGCGGGUGGCUAAGUCUGUGGUGAAAUCCUCCAGCUCAACUGGAGAACUGCCAUGGAUACUGGUCGUCUCGAGGAAGGUAGGGGUACGUGGAACUAUCGGUGGAGCGGUGAAAUGCGUUGAUAUCGAUAGGAACUCCGGUGGCGAAGGCGACGUACUGGACCUUUUCUGACGCUGAGGCGCGAAAGCCAGGGGAGCAAACGGG
rnacentral:rRNA from 1 species